rnacentral:rRNA from 1 species
AAAGAGAGAUUAAGACCGCAUAAAAUUGCACUGUGGCAUCACGAAGCAAUCAAAUAUUUAUAGGAAGAAGAUGGGCAUGCGGAACAUUAGCUAGUNGGUAAGGUAAUGGCUUACCAAGGCUACGAUGUUUAGGGGAUCUGAGAGGAUGGCCCCCCACACUGGUACUGAGACACGGACCAGACUCCUACGGGAGGCAGCAGUAAGGAAUAUUGGUCAAUGGACGGAAGUCUGAACCAGCCAUGCCGCGUGCAGGAAGACGGCCCUACGGGUUGUAAACUGCUUUUGCAGGGGAAUAAACCCCGAUACGUGUAUCGGGCUGAAUGUACUCUGAGAAUAAGGAUCGGCUAACUCCGUGCCAGCAGCCGCGGUAAUACGGAGGAUCCAAGCGUUAUCCGGAUUUAUUGGGUUUAAAGGGUGCGUAGGUGGCCUGUUAAGUCAGGGGUGAAAGACGGUAGCUUAACUAUCGCAGUGCCCUUGAUACUGAUGGGCUUGAAUGAACUAGAGGUAGGCGGAAUGUGACAAGUAGCGGUGAAAUGCAUAGAUAUGUCACAGAACACCAAUUGCGAAGGCAGCUUACUAUGGUUUUAUUGACACUGAGGCACGAAAGCGUGGGGAUCAAACAGGAUUAGAUACCCUGGUAGUCCACGCCCUAAACGAUGAAUACUCGAUGUUGGCGAUAUACGGUCAGCGUCUAAGCGAAAGCGUUAAGUAUUCCACCUGGGGAGUACGCCCGCAAGGGUGAAACUCAAAGGAAUUGACGGGGGCCCGCACAAGCGGAGGAGCAUGUGGUUUAAUUCGAUGAUACGCGAGGAACCUUACCCGGGCUUGAAAGUUAGCGAAUAAAGCAGAGACGCUUUAGUCCUUCGGGACACGAAACUAGGUGCUGCAUGGCUGUCGUCAGCUCGUGCCGUGAGGUGUUGGGGUAAGUCCCGCAACGAG